GCCGGGCGCGGUGGCUCACGCCUGUAAUCCCAGCACUUAGGGAGGCCGAGGCAGGUGGAUCACUUGAGGCCAGGAGUUCAAGACCAGCCUGGCCAACAUGGUGAAACCCUGUCUCUA
rnacentral:sRNA from 1 species